rnacentral:rRNA from 1 species
CCUACGGGAGGCAGCAGUAAGGAAUAUUGGACAAUGGUGGCAACACUGAUCCAGCCAUGCCGCGUGCAGGAUGACGGUUCUAUGAAUUGUAAACUGCUUUUAUACGGGAAAAACCCUCAAGACGUGAUUUUGAGCUGAUUGUACCGUAAGAAUAAGGAUCGGCUAACUUCGUGCCAGCAGCCGCGGUAAGACGAAGGAUCCAAGCGUUAUCCGGAUUUAUUGGGUUUAAAGGGUGCGUAGGCGGACUCAUAAGUCAGUGGUGAAAUCCCAAAGCUUAACUUUGGAACUGCCAUUGAUACUGUAAGUCUUGAGUAUGUUUGAAGUGGGCGGAAUGUAUUGUGUAGCGGUGAAAUGCUUAGAUAUAAUACAGAACACCAAUUGCGAAGGCAGCUCACUAAACCAUAACUGACGCUGAGGCACGAAAGCAUGGGGAGCAAACAGGAUUAGAUACCCUGGUAGUCCAUNCCUAACGACUAGAUACUACGAUAUGUGCGAUAUACUAGUACGUGU